GUAGCCUAAGUGGUCAGAGCGUCCGCUUCAGGUGCGGGAGGUCGCGGGUUCAAACCUCGGCCUACUCA